rnacentral:rRNA from 1 species
UGGGGAAUUUUGCACAAUGGGGGAAACCCUGAUGCAGCGACGCCGCGUGAUUUAGAAGGCCUUCGGGUUGUAAACAUCUUUUCUAUGGGAAGAAAAUGACAGUACCAUAGGAAUAAGGACCGGCUAAUUACGUGCCAGCAGCCGCGGUAAUACGUAAGGUCCGAGCGUUGUCCGGAAUCAUUGGGCGUAAAGGGUACGUAGGCGGGUAAGCAAGUUAGGAGUGAAAUCCUAUAGCUCAACUAUAGUAAGCUUUUAAAACUGCUCAUCUUGAGGUAUGGAAGGGAAAGGGGAAUUCCUAGUGUAGCGGUGAAAUGCGCAGAUAUUAGGAGGAAUACCGGUGGCGAAGGCGACUUUCUGGCCAUAACCUGACGCUGAGGUACGAAAGCGUGGGUAGCAAACAGG